CCUACGGGUGGCAGCAGUGAGGAAUAUUGGUCAAUGGACGCAAGCCUGAACCAGCCAAGCCGCGUGCAGGAAGACGGCUCUAUGUGUUGUAAACUGCUUUUGUAAGAGGGUAAAGGCAGGUACGUGUACCUGUUUGAAAGUACCGUACGAAUAAGGAUCGGCUAACUCCGUGCCAGCAGCCGCGGUAAUACGGAGGAUUCAAGCGUUAUCCGGAUUUAUUGGGUUUAAAGGGUGCGUAGGCGGUCGGAUAAGUUAGAGGUGAAAUGCCGAGGCUCAACCUCGGAAUUGCCUCUGAUACUGGUCGGCUAGAGUGUAGUUGCGGUAGGCGGAAUGUGUGGUGUAGCGGUGAAAUGCUUAGAGAUCAUGCAGAACACCGAUUGCGAAGGCAGCUUACC
rnacentral:rRNA from 1 species